rnacentral:rRNA from 1 species
CUUGACAUCCAGAGAAUUUAGCAGAGAUGCUUUAGUGCCUUCGGGAACUCUGAGACAGGUGCUGCAUGGCUGUCGUCAGCUCGUGUUGUGAAAUGUUGGGUUAACGUCCGCAACGAGCGCAACCCUUAUCCUUUGUUGCCAGCACGUAAUGGUGGGAACUCAAAGGAGACUGCCGGUGAUAAACCGGAGGAAGGUGGGGAUGACGUCAAGUCAUCAUGGCCCUUACGAGUAGGGCUACACACGUGCUACAAUGGCGUAUACAAAGAGAAGCGACCUCGCGAGAGCAAGCGGACCUCAUAAAGUGCGUCGUAGUCCGGAUUGGAGUCUGCAACUCGACUCCAUGAAGUCGGAAUCGCUAGUAAUCGUAAAUCAGAAUGUUACGGUGAAUACGUUCCCGGGCCUUGUACACACCGCCCGUCACACCAUGGGAGUGGGUUGCAAAAGAAGUAGAUAGCUUAACCUUCGGGAGGGCGUUUACCACUUUGUGAUUCAUGACUGGGGUGAAGUCGUAACAAGGUAAGCGUAGUGCU